rnacentral:rRNA from 1 species
GACGAACGCUGGCGGCGUGCUUAACACAUGCAAGUCGAACGGAAAGGCCCUGCUUUUGUGGGGUGCUCGAGUGGCGAACGGGUGAGUAACACGCGAGUAACCUGCCCUUGACUUUGGGAUAACUUCAGGAAACUGGGGCGCAUACCGGGUAUGAGCUCCUGCUGCACGGUGUGGGUUGGUAAGUUGCGGCGGUGUGGGAUGGACUCGCGGCUUAUCAGCUUGUUGGUGAGGUAGUGUCUUAACAAGGCUUUGACGGGUAGCCGGACUGAGAGGGUGACCGGGCACAAUGGGACUGAGAUACGAGCCAGACUGCUACGGGAGGCAGCGGUGGAGAAUAUUGCACAAUGGGCGGAAGGCUGAUGCAGCGAUGUCGCGUGCGGGAUGACGGCCUUCGGGGUGGAAACCUCUUUCGACUGUGACGAAGAGUGAGUGACGGUAAUGGGUAAAGAAGCAACGGCUAACUACGUG